rnacentral:tRNA from 1 species
GCGGACGUGGCGAAACUGGUAGACGCACUAGCCUUAGGAGCUAGCGGGGCAACCCGUGAGAGUUCGAGUCUCUCCGUCCGCACCA